rnacentral:rRNA from 1 species
UACGGAGGAUCCUAGUGUUAUCCGGAUUUAUUGGGUUUAAAGGGAGCGUAGGCGGGAGGUCAAGUCAGCUGUGAAAUGUAUCUGCUUAACGGGUACACUGCAGUUGAAACUGGUUUUCUUGAGUGCGUAAGAGGCAGGCGGAAUUCGUUGUGUAGCGGUGAAAUGCUUAGAUAUGACGAGGAACUCCUAUUGCGAAGGCAGCUUGCUGGGUCGUUACUGACGCUGAUGCUCGAAGGUGCGGGGAUCAAACAGGAUUAGAUACCCU